UACGAAGGGGGGCAAGCGUUGUUCGGAAUUACUGGGCGUAAAGGGCGCGUAGGCGGCCUUCUAAGUCGGACGUGAAAUCCCUCGGCUUAACCGAGGAACUGCGUCCGAUACUGAAAGGCUUGAAUCCGGGAGAGGGAUGUGGAAUUCCAGGUGUAGCGGUGAAAUGCGUAGAUAUCUGGAGGAACACCGGUGGCGAAGGCGGCAUCCUGGACCGGCAUUGACGCUGAGGCGCGAAAGCUAGGGGAGCAAACGGG
rnacentral:rRNA from 1 species